UGCAGUCGACGGCAGCGCGGGGCAACCUGGCGGCGAGUGGCGAACGGGUGAGUAAUAUAUCGGAACGUACCCAGAAGUGGGGGAUAACGUAGCGAAAGUUACGCUAAUACCGCAUACGAUCUACGGAUGAAAGUGGGGGACCUUCGGGCCUCAUGCUUUUGGAGCGGCCGAUAUCUGAUUAGCUAGUUGGUAGGGUAAAGGCCUACCAAGGCGACGAUCAGUAGCUGGUCUGAGAGGACGACCAGCCACACUGGAACUGAGACACGGUCCAGACUCCUACGGGAGGCAGCAGUGGGGAAUUUUGGACAAUGGGCGCAAGCCUGAUCCAGCAAUGCCGCGUGAGUGAAGAAGGCCUUCGGGUUGUAAAGCUCUUUUGUCAGGGAAGAAACGGCCGAGGCUAAUACCUUUGGCUAAUGACGGUACCUGAAGAAUAAGCACCGGCUAACUACGUGCCAGCAGCCGCGGUAAUACGUAGGGUGCAAGCGUUAAUCGGAAUUACUGGGCGUAAAGCGUGCGCAGGCGGUUUUGUAAGUCUGACGUGAAAUCCCCGGGCUUAACCUGGGAAUUGCGUUGGAGACUGCAAGGCUGGAGUCUGGCAGAGGGGGGUAGAAUUCCACGUGUAGCAGUGAAAUGCGUAGAGAUGUGGAGGAACACCGAUGGCGAAGGCAGCCCCCUGGGUCAAGACUGACGCUCAUGCACGAAAGCGUGGGGAGCAAACAGGAUUAGAUACCCUGGUAGUCCACGCCCUAAACGAUGUCUACUAGUUGUCGGGUCUUAAUUGACUUGGUAACGCAGCUAACGCGUGAAGUAGACCGCCUGGGGAGUACGGUCGCAAGAUUAAAACUCAAAG
rnacentral:rRNA from 1 species